rnacentral:rRNA from 1 species
GUACUGGCAUUGUUGGUUUCUCCCUUCUGACGAACCAUGAUGUCAUUUAUUUGGUGUUGUGGGGAAUCAGGACUGUUACUUUGAAAAAAUUAGAGUGUUUAAAGCAGGCUCACGCUUGAAUACAUUAGCAUGGAAUAAUGAAAUAGGACGUUUGAUUCUAUUUUGUUGGUUUCUAGGAUCGACGUAAUGAUUAAUAGGAAUAGUUGGGGGCAUUAGUAUUCAAUUGUCAGAGGUGAAAUUCUUGGAUUUAUUGAAGACUAACUACUGCGAAAGCAUUUGCCAAGGAUGUUUUCAUUAAUCAAUAACCAAAGUUAGGGGAUCGAAGACGAUCAGAUACCGUCGUAGUCUUAACCAUAAACUAUGCCGACUAAGGAUCGGAUGAUGUUAAUUUUUUAAUGACUCAUUCGGCGCCUUACG